GAUUAAGCCAUGCAUGUCCAAGUAUAAGCAAUCUAUACGGUGAAACUGCGAAUGGCUCAUUAAAUCAGUUAUCGUUUAUUUGAUAGUACCUUACUACAUGGAUAACCGUGGUAAUUCUAGAGCUAAUACAUGCUAAAAACCCCGACUUCGGAAGGGGUGUAUUUAUUAGAUAAAAAACCAGCGCCCUUCGGGGCUCCUUGGUGAUUCAUAAUAACUCAACGAAUCGCAUGGCCUUGCGCCGGCGAUGGUUCAUUCAAAUUUCUGCCCUAUCAACUUUCGAUGGUAGGAUAGUGGCCUACCAUGGUAUCAACGGGUAACGGGGAAUUAGGGUUCUAUUCCGGAGAGGGAGCCUGAGAAACGGCUACCACAUCCAAGGAAGGCAGCAGGCGCGCAAAUUACCCAAUCCCGACACGGGGAGGUAGUGACAAUAAAUACUGAUACAGGGCUCUUUUGGGUCUUGUAAUUGGAAUGAGUACAAUUUAAAUCCCUUAACGAGGAACAAUUGGAGGGCAAGUCUGGUGCCAGCAGCCGCGGUAAUUCCAGCUCCAAUAGCGUAUAUUAAAGUUGUUGCAGUUAAAAAGCUCGUAGUUGAACCUUGGGCCUGGCUGGCCGGUCCGCCUCACCGCGUGUACUGGUCCGGCCGGGCCUUUCCUUCUGGGGAGCCGCAUGCCCUUCACUGGGCGUGCCGGGGAACCAGGACUUUUACUUUGAAAAAAUUAGAGUGUUCAAAGCAGGCCUUUGCUCGAAUACAUUAGCA
rnacentral:rRNA from 1 species